rnacentral:rRNA from 1 species
CCUACGGGAGGCAGCAGUAAGGAAUCUUCCACAAUGGACGAAAGUCUGAUGGAGCAACGCCGCGUGCAGGAUGAAGGCUUUCGGGUCGUAAACUGCUUUUAUAUGGGAAGAUUAUGACGGUACCAUAUGAAUAAGGACCGGCUAACUACGUGCCAGCAGCCGCGGUAAUACGUAGGGUCCAAGCGAUAUCCGGAAUUACUGGGCGUAAAGCGUGUGUAGGUGGAUUAAUAAGUGUGAUGCGAAAUCCGGCGGCUCAACCGUUUGGACUGUGUCGCAUACUGUUAGUCUAGAGGACGGCAGAGGUAAGUGGAAUUACGGGUGUAGCAGUGAAAUGCGCAGAUAUCCGUAGGAACACCAAUGGCGAAGGCAGCUUACUGGGCCACACCUGACACUGAGACACGAAAGCGUGGGGAGCGAACAGGAUUAGAUACCCUGGUAGUCCACGCCGUAAACGAUGCAUACUAUUAGUAUGGGGUAUCGACCCCCUGUGCUGAGAAGCUAACGCGAUAAGUAUGCCGCCUGGGGGAGGUACGAGCGCGAAGACGUUAAACUUAAAUUAAGUAAGUUAGUUACGGCGUUGAGACGNGCCGACGGACGACGACGAGGGAGGAGG